rnacentral:lncRNA from 1 species
CACACACUCACACACAUAGACACACAUACGGACCCGCACACAGAUCCGGGUGGGGGGGGCGGGGUGGGGGAGCGGCAGCGCGAGACAGCGCGAGCCUCCGAGAAAGCGCGAGACACGCCGGCGCGUGCAGCUCCGCGGCGGCCGCUGCGCCCCGGCUCCAGCCCCGCGAGCGCCCGGCCCGGGUAUUUAUGCGGCGGCCGCGUCCGCCGGCUGCGGCUUCCUCCGGGCCCCCCCCUCCUCCCCCGGGGCGCGCACCACCGCCCCCCUGCACGCGCACACACACACACACACACACACACACACACACACUCGCGGCAGCAGCUGCCGGGACUCGCUCGUGGGUGUGUGUGGUUUGGGGGCUCCUGCCUCGGCGCGGCGGGUGCCACCUCCCGGGACGCUGGCCAGGCGUCCCAGGUCGCGAUCAAACAAAUAAUAGAAGUCUGUUGAAGCUUUGUCCUGACCUAUUCUGGAAGUAG